rnacentral:lncRNA from 1 species
UAGUGGAGAUAUAUGAAUCAGUUCACAGUUGGGUGCUGCCAUCACACUAAUUUUUACCUGCAUUUUAUGUUCUCCGUGAUAAAAUAAGAUGGCAGAUGAUUGGCAUCAGAUUAAGAUAUUAAGCAUAUUCUUAAAAUGCAGAAGUUGAUAUUGAAGGUAGUUUGUUUGAUAUGAAGCAACUUGGUCCCAAUACCAAGUGGGCCUAAAGGCCCUAAACAAAGGAUUGAUCCUACAAACACAAAGGGUUAUGCCAGUUGAUACAAUCAGUAGAAAAUGCCACAAAAUAUUGUUCCUAAAUCUUAAACAGUGUGUUGAUUAUGACAUCACUGUGGUAACUAGAAACAUAUAUACACCAGAUACAGGCCUGUUGUGCAAAGAAAUAAGCUACACUUCAUUAAUAAUUUACACCAUAAACAUUGCAGCUGAAAAUUCAAAAGAUUGAAAAAAGGUAGCAGUAGAAUGAAGUAAAAGACUUUGCAUUGGACUAAUAUGCAACAUGUUUCUCUUGUACAGUCAGGGAGAAAAUCAUCAGGCACGGACAACCAUAACUGAAACAAGAGGAAAAUAUAGACCUAACUAUACGAAGACAUACCACAUAUCUUAUGUGAUUGAGGCGUGAUAGGGAAAAAAAAAGGGUGUUGUCAAAGAAAAAAAAUGGUUUAAGUGCCUAUCGAGAAAAACAAUUAACCAUGUUCACGAGUAGAUUUUCCCAGUAAAGCAAGAAUUAGCAUUGAUGGAGCUCUAGACACUCUUUUAGACAGAAGAAAAGUUGCACAACAAAGAAAACACGACUAAUGAUUCUCAAAAGCAAAUCCUGUUGUUGGUUAACAUUAUAUAGUUCCAAAAGUUUUUCUCAUCAAACAAUUAGCUUAAACAAGUAAAACUUACAGCCAUAUGCCCCCUUCACGUCCUUCGCGUUUUAUCACCGAGGCAAUAUAAGAACAGGAAGCACAUCCCUAGCAGGAGGAAGAUCCCCCUCGAUUAGAAUGUGGUAGAAGGAGCUGAACAAUAUCAAGUCAAACUGCUCAAGGAGCUAGAGAUACCAAAUCAUCACAGUCGUCUGUAGCGUGCAAAGGCAAAGGCAAAGGGGAUGACAAUAACAUCAGUUGCACCGUUGAAAAGAAUCGAAUCGAUCGACGAGACACUUUUUUAAUUACAUUCAACAACCAACUCGGUCUAGAGACAUGAUAGCGGCCAAUGAUGGCGAUGACACCGAGAAGUCAAUAGUUCGAUCUACAUAAUUUAUAGAUAGCGCAUGGACCGCAAAGCAGUAUUUUACACGUCACCCAAGAUUCAGAUCAUGGAGCUCGACAAGAUACUAGUCAAGUUUAUACACAUAAGAGAAAAGGGAAGGGAGUUGAUGAUUUUGAGCAAAAGCGACAUAGCCUACAUGACAUAGACACUGAGCAAAGCUCAUCGUAUUCAUUGUUAUCAUACGAUAACACAGAGUAAUAGUACGAUGAUCAAUGUUAUGAUAUGAAGCAACAUAUUAUUGACGAAAAUAGAAAUUCUGACAUUCUCUAUGCUCCGCACUAAUGCAUACCAUAAUCAUCCUUGCCUUAGGAGCCACCUCGGACACAUGUGGUUCACAACGAUCAAACUACGACCAUCACCACAUUGAUGUACCAAUGGCAGACGAUCUAUUAAUAUACCAUGUCAUGGGAUCAAUUUCAAGAUUGUGUCCAACAAGCAUAUCAAAUUAAUAUACAAAUGCAUAAGAUCAAGGGCCCUAACCCACUGCCCGUGGAGUCCCAUCGUUCUUUUUGGUGGUAGAACAAGUAUAUUCAUUGAUUAAUUACUUAAUUCAUUUGAAUUUUAAAGUUUAAAUUGUUUAAAAAAUAAUCUAACAAGUCAAAUAAUUUCUUUAUAGAUAAUUCAAUAUCAACAGAAGGACAGUAUGGAACGUACAACAAAGCUACUCCUCAAAGUCCAAAAAGAUGUGUUACUAUUCUUUCCUAAUUUAGAUUAUUUUUUGCUAAAAUCAUACUAAAUUUAUAUUUAUUUCUAACUUAAAAAUCUUAACCUAACUUGUUUAUUUUUAAAAACUUUUGGAGCUAUUUUUGGAUAUUUUUCCAUACUGUCAGUAUGCUCCACCAUACCGACAUAAGGUAUGUCGGUACAAAUUGGUAUGUAUCAUACCAACGACUAGUCGAUACAUUGAUAUGGACCGAUAAAACGAACCCUAUUGAUAUGUAUAUGAGAGGCAAUAAGAAUAUCCAUAGUUGAUAGGGCGAAUUUAUGGUCUCACUUUUGGGUUUGUCAAAGCCAAGGUUUGCCGUUACGAAGGUUCGCCGUACUGUACCGUACCGGCGUUUCAACCCGGGCUCGAUACGGUACGGUACCGGUGUACCGGGCAGUACAUCAGGGCGUACCGAGCGGUACACCCUGGUGUACCAAAUAAUUUUAUACUUUUUCAUAUUGUAGCAGUGCUACAGUAUAAUACUGUAGCACUAUAGCGAUACAGGACGGUCCGCGUACCGGUAACCUGUCGGACCGGUACGUAUCGCCCGGUAUGGGCGGUACGCUUCGGUAUGACAGACCUUGGUUAAAGCAAAACAUUUUGAAACUUUAAGCAGUUUCCAAGAAGUUUCUGACUCAUGUCUUAAUUAUGAACUUUGAUGUUAUAAAAUGGGGCUUAUGUAUCUGCUAUGCUGCAUAUGACUUCUGGAUUCUUCAAUCAGAAGGAAGCACCUACACAAGAACUUGAGCAGACCAUCAGUAAUAGCAUGAACCACAUGCAAAGAUUAAAAAAUAACAACACUUUUUCCUUUCUACUUCAGCUCUUCAGUGUUAAGAUCGUGCCAAAGUCAAGCUUAAUCUACUUGAACAAUUGGACAGCUUAACUUAGAACUUGAGACUAGCUUGUUCCGGAAAGCAUGCAACAAAGAAUCUUGACUGCUUAUCUCUAUGUGAAAGGAUAUACAGAAUAUUAAAUAUAUUGACUCUUAUAAUUCCAUCAUCUACUUUAUCCAUCCAACCCCAAUUUUCCGCUUACAUCAACUUUCCCUAACAUAAUCCAGGGCGUGCCAUCUUUUUAACUCUCCAAAUAACUGAAUUAAAAUAUUUAGAAAAUCUGACAAUACCAACCUGAUAUCUCAAUACCUCUAGAAGCGUUAGACAAAUAAGAAUCUUGUAGACAACUUGAACUAUAAAUGCAAUUAUAAUUAGUCCGAUAGGUGAGUCAAGAUUCAAGAACACCAACCUCUUUCGAGUCACCCUUUCUGGAACCAAUGUGAAGCAGGGUCCAACCUCUGUCAUUCCUCUCCCUAAGCCUCUGCUUGAAAAAUCGCCUGCUGGACAGGUAGCUCCGAGCCUUAAACUGCUUCUCAGGAUACAUAUUCCACCCAGCCCAAGAUUCGACCACGAUGACAAAGAAGAAAUCAAAGUUCUAUACCCCGCAACUUCUCGACCAAAUCACACUUCUUUUUCCAGCACAAGUGUCCCGGGAGAGCACGCAACAAAGAACCCAACCCGAAAACAAGAUAAAAGGCUUCAGAUAGUCGCCACAACGAUGAGAAAAGCACCCAAAGGCGCGAAUGGAUUCAACCCGGGGCCGAAGGAGCGGAGAUGGGCGCAACGAUGGACGCGAGCGCAAAAGGAGAGGAAACAAUCAUAAUUGAAGACGCCUCUUGAUUGCUCCGAUCAAAUAGGAUGAAACCCUAGAACGAAACGGAUUAAACGAAGAGACAACGCCCGAAGGAAAUCGGGGUGAGGAUUGAAGGGGAGGAAUCAUGUAGAAGCUGCAAGUCUUGUUCGAA